rnacentral:rRNA from 1 species
GGUUAAGCGAAUAAGCGUACACGGUGGAUGCCUAGGCAAUCAGAGGCGAUGAAGGACGUGCUAAUCUGCGAAAAGCGUCGGUAAGGUGAUAUGAACCGUUACACCCGACGAUAUCCGAAUGGGGAAACCCAGUAUCCAAUGGAUACUAUCAUUAACUGAAUCCAUAGGUUAAUGAGGCGAACCGGGAGAACUGAAACAUCUCAGUACCCCGAGGAAAAGAAAUCAACCG